rnacentral:rRNA from 1 species
GGGGAAUUUUCCGCAAUGGGCGAAAGCCUGACGGAGCAAUACCGCGUGAGGGAGGAAUGCCUUUGGGUUGUAAACCUCUUUUCUCAGGGAAGAAGAUCUGACGGUACCUGAGGAAUAAGUAUCGGCUAACUCCGUGCCAGCAGCCGCGGUAAUACGGAGGAUGCAAGCGUUAUCCGGAAUUAUUGGGCGUAAAGCGUCCGCAGGUGGUUUCCAAAGUCUGCUGUUAAAGACUGGAGCUCAACUCCGGAACGGCGGUGGAAACUUGGAAACUAGAGUUCGGUAGGGGUAGCAGGAAUUCCCAGUGUAGCGGUGAAAUGCGUAGAUAUUGGGAAGAACAUCGGUGGCGAAGGCGUGCUACUGGACCGUAACAGACACUCAGGGACGAAAGCUAGGGGAGCGAAAGGGAUUAGAUACCCCUGUAGUCCUAGCUGUAAACGAUGGAAACUAGGUGUGGCUUG